rnacentral:lncRNA from 1 species
GCUAUUUAAUUUUUUUUUUGGAUGAAUUCAUUAUUUUUUGUUUCCCAAUAUUUUUGUUUUACUUUUUUUUAAUAAUUUUUUUUUUUGCAUAAAGUUUUACUCUAAUCAAAAAACAAACAGCUAUUAAUUUAAUAAUUUAAUGAAGAACUGAUGUGUUCACAAUGCCAAACCAUUACUUGUUCAAACCAUCAGUUUAUUACAUAUUCCAAUUCUCUUUUUCUUAUUUUGUUUUUUACUUUUUUAGAUUUUUUUUCCAGAACUUUAAUAUAUUAAUUACUUGUUUACACAAAGUUUUACUCUAAUCAAAAUAUAAACACAGCUAUUAAUGUAAUCAUUCGAUGAAGUGUUCAUAAUGCCAUAAAAUGGUUCAAGUGUGCAUUUUUUGUUAUUUUUUGCAUUUUUAUUUAUUUUCAAAUAAUGUUCUACUUUUUCACAUGAUUUUUUUCCAGAUUAUUGAUCAAUCAUUAUUUUUUCACACAGAUGUGAUGGUGGUGUUUGUGUUUGUUUGUUUUACAGUGAAUAACAUCAGCUGUAUGUCGAGACUGAGGUUUUUAGGAGAACCAACCCAGGAAUGUAGGACAGCGGGAAGCGCUCUGUUAUCUGUCAGCGGAGCCAGCACUGAGGUGUUUGAAGAGCAAACUGUCCCAUCAUGCAGCAGGAGCGCUCCUGAGGGACUCCAGCUCUGCUGAUAAUGAAGCCUGUCAUCUCCGCUCACCUCCGCGCCGGACACACUUCCAGCUCCAAACGGCUCCUCCAUCGAUUCGCUGCUAUUUUCCAAAGCGGCUGAAAUACCUCCCAGAGCUCCUCAGAGCCGCACUUGUUGGCUGAAGAUGUUAUAACAGGUCACAGUGGAGACGUCAGUGUCUGCGCCUCAAGAUCUGUGAGUUUGUGCUUUAUUUAACCGCACACUGUCAGAGUAAAACAUCGGUUUAUAGGUAAAGGGUUCAACUGAAACAGCGACGUCUGAAAAAGCUCUUAAAUGUGUUCAGUUCUUGAAGUCGUGGUAUUAAAUAUGACAUGCUUUGAUAAAAAUUAAUCUCUUCCUCAGUAUUUUGUUUUUGUUUUGCAGUACAUAUAAACAUCUAUUUACAAUGCAUUUACAUUCAGUCAUUUAGCAGAUGCUUUUAUCUGAAGCGACUUACAAAUGAUGACAACAGAAGCAAUCAAAACUAACAAAAGAGCAAUGAUAUGCAAGUGCUGUGACAAGACUCAGUUAGUUUAACACAGUACACGUAGCAAGGGUUUUAUAUAUAUAUAUAAAGAAAACAAGUAGAUAGAAUAGAAAAAGAAUAGAGAAGGCUAGAAAAGGCUAGCCUUUUUUUGAGAAAACAAACAGUUAGAAAACGAAUGUAGAGUGCAAGUGUUAGAGACUCAAUUCAACAAACAGAUAAAAUAGAAUUAGAAUAGAGAGUGCUAGUGUGAGGCAUUUUUUUGUCAAAGAAAACAAGCAGUUCUAAAACGAAUAGAGAGUGCAAGUGUUAGAGUGUCAAGUGUUUUUUCAUAUAUAUAAAACAAAUAAAAAACAAACAGAUAAAAAAAAUUAGAAUAGAGAGUGUUAGAGCUAGACGGUCAAAUAAAGAUGGAAGAGAUGCAUAUUUAGCUUUUUAUACUUAAGUAUAUAUACACACCACCACCGAAUCAAGAAGUAGCUGUCUAUUUACUUAUUUCUAAGUAUUUUCGUAAAUAUUACAUAAAAAAUUGGAAUGUAAUUUCAGCAAUUGUUUAAAUACACACAUUUACAUAUCAGCAAAUGAAUGUGUUAUUUACUUAUUUAUUAAAUAAAAAUAAUGAUAUAACAUAUCAGCUUUAUAUCGGACGUCAGCCAUCCUGCUCUCUAAGAUACCGGCAUUAACUAUCAAAAAACAACUAAUGUGAAUGUGACCCUUCUGACUGAUCAUCACUCACUAUAUUUAUUAUGUAUAUACAGUAUAAAUACACACAUAUGCAUGUAUACAUUUCAGAAAAAUAUGUUGUUUAUAUAUUAAAUAUAUUUAUAUAUACUAUAAAUUAUAUAUGAAUAUAAAUAUAUACAUGUAAAUACAUGCAAAUAUAUAUAUAUAUAUAUAUAUGCGUAUUUAUAUAUACAUAAUAAAUAUACACUGUA